CAAUAGGUACUUCCACGUGGAUAACUCUAUAACCAACAUUUGGAAGUUGUACGAACUGUACGAUCAUCACAGGCACGAGAAAAUAUGGUUAGUAACUGAUUAUUUGCAUUCCACUUCCUAGUGCUGACCAAUAAGCUGACCAAUAAGCAACCAGAAAGUCUUUGCAUUAUUGACUCAAGUCAAAACACUCCGUUCUGCUUGCUUGCCAGAAAACCCAGGAAAAGCCAAAAGGGCAAAAAAAAAAAAAACUUUCCUUUUCUUUUCAUCGGUUUUUCCGAUACCCAAAUAGAGCACCAGUGCCAGAGAUUGUUUUUCCUCUCUUUCUUUAGUUAUUAUCAUCAAAUAAUUGAUUUUGCUCAUGUGAGUAAGGAAAAGUGAAAAACUUCCAGUGAUAUAUUUCCAGGUUUUGUUUGUACUUGUUGAUUUAUGGUUUUUAUUUUUGCAUGUGUUUAUGGUCGACUUGUUUCUAUCACUCCUUUGGCUUCUAUUUUGCAGCUCUUGCCUGCCUGCCAUGCUUGGUUAUUUCUGUUUCUCAAUUUUCAGGUUCUAUUUCACUUUCUUUAUUACCUAAAGCUAUGAACUCCGGUGUCCUUUUGAAAUCUCAUUAAUUUCUUUUGCAUGUGUCCAUUAACCAAUUCCAGUUUUUUAUGAUAAAAAUACCUGGGAAUUUUAGGUCUCAUAACAUUGGAUUGCAUGCCCAUUUAUAGAUACUUUCUGCUUUCUGUUUUGUGAUUUUGAAAAUUUCUUUGUGUUAUAUGGCUUAGUUUACAUGCCAAUUAAAUUUACUUUCAGUGCUGCAUCAUGUUCUAGGUUGACGAUUUAACUACUCUUCUUGAUGUCAAUUUUGCCUGGCUUUAUUUAUUAUGUGAUGGAAUAGUGACUUUUAACGAAAACAUCUAAUUGGUUCACUCGAAUUGAUAAUGGUAUUAGCCUGCUUCUUCGGGUGAUCCCUUUCACAUCACUGAAUUUUUCAUUUUUACCUUCUUCAUUGAUAAAAAGAACAAUGAUCGUCUCUUGAGUUACUUGCUCCUCUGGAGUAAUAAAUACAGGUUAUUUCUGCUCCUUUGUGCACUUCCCAUUUGAAAUCUUGGAUGUCCCUGUUUGAAGCCUGAUCUAAAACUUUUAGUUGAUUUUGAUUCCCUGGUUCCUACUUUAGUUUCCCCAAGUACAGAACACAAAUACUGAUAGUGCCAUUUAAAUGAUGAAUGAAGCUAGAUACAGAUUUAAUCCUGCUUUGCCUCUGUUAAUUUUAGCACUAUCAAUUCAUUGGUUAAGACUUAAAAAGCCAGCAAAUAAAUAUUUCUAAAUCUGCUUAUCCUUCUCCAUAUUAGAAAAUUAUGUUUGAUGUUAGGUGAGUUUUCGUGGCUAAAGUAUUUUAAUCUAUAGAAAGAUACCAAAAACAAAAAAGUUAAUGGGAUUCUAAAUUCCUUAAUAGCAUGGGGCAUUUUAAGAACUGAAUUCAGUACCUCUUCCACCAAAAGUAAGAAUCACACUAACAUUCUGAAGAACUGUGCAUUUUCGUUGUAGUUAUGUGCCAUUUUUGUGCAUUUAUGAUCAUGCUAUUUCUAGUUUGAAAGUCCACAGCUCAGUUUUCCUCCAGGGACUCUUUAAAUGUAAUUAGCAAAGAUAUUCAAUGUUUGAUGCUUCCUCUGUUGAUUCUUCCUAGUCUUAGGACACCUCCAUAAUAUCUACGUGGCUUUUCCUUUUGUUGGGUGGGGUGCUGUGGAAAGCUUGGGUAGCCACUUCACUAAAAUCAAGGAUUCUAGAAGGAUUGGUAAUUCGGGCUGGUGGGUAUAAACGGGUCGUGUCAAGACACUGGUAUAACACAGAAAUACUCAACCCGAACAUGACUCAUUUAACUAAUCGGGUCAAGAUUCUAAACCUUAAUACGAAAAUGAUAUUAAGCAAAUUACACGACAAGGCCCGUGUAACCUGUUUAAUAUUAUGCAAGUCAUAGCAUAUCAAUGUGUUCAUCAUUUUACAAAAUUAUACGAUAACACAAUUAAUAGUUUGAAAAAUAUUAAUAUAAUUAGCAAAUAAUGAUAUAUUUUUAUAUUAUUUUAAUUAAAUAUGUUUAUUGUGUAUAUUUGUCUAGUGUAUUUACAUGUUAAUUUAUUAACCUGAUUAAAUAAACGUGUCUAACCAGAGAUGGGUCAUAAACCUACUAUUUUACUUUUUUAUAAAUGGAUUGACCCGUUUAUAGGCCAAAUUGUUUAUCCAAAACCCAACCCCUGUUUAACUACGUGUGACGCCAUGUAAUCAGGUUGUCAAAAAUUGCCAACCUUGUUCUAGAGUAACAGUGAAAUUACUAGUUUUGAGUAAUGAAAAUUGUUGUUUGGUGUGUGGUACUUGUUGGGUGGUGGUUAUAAAUAAUGUUUGGAAUCAACAUUGUACUGUGGACUAGCAAUGAGUUCGCUAGUUUUGAUGUUGCCUUGUCCGUUUUCACAUCAGCUGCUGAUUUAUUUAGGUGCAUUUGUAAAUUUUAUUUGCAAAUUUCAUGUCACUUGCUCCAAUAUCAUAGUAGAUGUUACCUUGUUGAAAGUUAGAAGGAAACAGGUUCUUAAACUCUGUGAGGUGCUUUUCUCAGAAUGUAUAUCACCAUUCGUGCAGGAGACAGUGAGCUGGAGAUUGUUUCUACUCUCUGAUUUUGGUCGUCUUCAUUUGGGUUGUUGAUUCAGUGAUUGAAUCUGCACUUUACGUGAACUCCCACAAUCAUUUGGCAGCUUGAGGCAAUUGGAUUUUUAUUGCUUGCUGAGCCACAGGUAUAGUUCUAAAUUGCUUGCUUAGACUGCAAACCAGUGACUUAUUUACUUAACAAUUGCAUGGUGUGAAAUCAUAUUGGAUGGACAAUAAAUUAUGUGGGCUCUCAUGAAUUUUCAAAUUGUUUGACAUAGCAAAAUUAUUUUACUUUCUUGCCAGAAACCACAAGUUAAUAAAAUCUGGUUAUUAUAUUCAACAAUUAGGCAAGAACGGAAGUGGGGCACUAGGACUUGUAGUUAUGCAGUUGAGUUUAGGCUAGAUUAUUUGGAUCUUUCAUUAUCAGAUGCCAAAAACAAGACAGGAAAGGUGGGAUAGGUAGUCUAUAGUUGACAUGGAGACAGAUACGUAGUUGUAUUAUUUUAAUGUCAAUAUUGAAAACUAACAACAGGUGGGGGCAUUCCGAGAAUCGAACUCGUGAUCUCUCGCACCCAAAGCGAGAAUCAUACCACUAGACCAAAUGUCCUGUAGCUAUCUUUUAUAACUUAUUUCGCUAGUUAUUUCUGUUAAUUUUCGUGAACUCUCUGAAGUAGGUACUUGCUAGACUUUGACCUUUGAUGCUACCAUUACCUCUUAGUCAUUUAUCUGGUCAGUCAGAUACAAGACAUUUGCAAAAUGCAUUGAUAGCUUAAAUUGGUUAAAAACUUAAGGUGCUGAUGCUAAAUACAAUUAUCUUGGCCUAGCAUAAUCCCAUGCCAUAGAUAAGCAGAUUCCUCUAACAUCAUGAGUAAUUGCUUUCUUCUUUUCAUGUCUUGACCUGGGUGGAGGCUAUCAGCAUCAAGCUUGUGCUUGAUUCAUUAUUUUACACAACUACUUCUGGUAUAAGCUGUACGCAAAAAGUAAGGGCUUAUAAUUUAAAAAACAAUCUAGAUGGGGCGUUCUGAGAAUUGAACUCUAGACCUAUCACACCAAAAGCGAGAAUCAUACCACUAGACUAAAUGCCCAUUCAUUAACACUUGUCAUGUACAAUUUUCAAUUUAAGCUGAAUCUGUAUUAAUGCAAAAGACUGUUUGAAGGUUUAUUUCACAUUUCCUUUUACCUCUGAUUAGCAAAUACAUUCAAAUUUGCUUUGUUGUCUAUUGUUAGUUUAGUAUUUCUUUCAUACCACAGGAUUGUGGAGUAAACAUAGUAUAAUGGGAAUGUUUGCUUCUUAUUUUUCUCAAAAAACAUUGACAGAAUUGCUCUCAGGAAAGGUCAGUUUGGAGAGCAGCAAUUAUUCAAAAAAUAGUUUCACUAACUCUUUUAUGUUCUUGCUCUGGUAAACCUACCAUGGCAAAAGUGUAUGUUUUGCUUAACUGAUGCCUGAUUUGCUGUUGCAGCUUUUCUUCUCUUGGAAUUUCGCAUUCACACUUCUUGCAGUCUUUGACUUAGAUACUAAUUUUUACAAUGUCAUUAAAGAUAUAAAGAAUAAUUAAUAUAUCAGUCAUAAGACACUCAUUGAGAUGAGGUACUUACCUAAAAAAUUUCUUAGGAAAUUCAGAUUUACAGCUUCAGGCAAAUUAUAGCUUUAACUUUGGUUCCCUUGGCUGGGUUAUUGACUGAGUGAAAUCUACUUUAGUGAACUGGAUUCUCACUUACUGCAGACGCCAAAGAUUUGAGUUUGGAAUUUUAGUUUCCCACUUCCAUGUCACUUGCUGCUUUUUUCGGACUACGUGUUACCUGAUUAUAUUAGUAAAGGUUGUGAGAAUGAGCAAUACAUUGUGCUAUGGAUCAUUACUUGAUCACAUUACUAAAGGUUGUGAUUGUGAACAAUGUAUUGUGCUAUAGAGCGUUACUUGAUCAUAUUAGUAAAGGUUGUGAGAAUGAGCAAUAUAUUGUGCUAUAGAUCAUAAAUAUUUAUAAGUUGCUUUUCUCAAGAUUUCUUAAAAACUUUGUACUAGUUGUGAUAAAGGAUGGUGGUCUUCAGUUAGUUUCUAUUUGUUGCUCGAGUGAUUGAGCUUACGCUUAGAAUAAACUUCCACAACAUUUCAUAGAGUUGAGGCAGCUGGUUUUUAUUGAUUGCUGAGGUCUUAGUCAUAUUCAUUGCUUACCUAGAAUGCAAAGUCACUGGCUGUUUGCUUGGUAGAUAAAAAUUUUAUUAGAGAAUUUCAAUCAUGAAAAUUUCAUAUUGUUCUGCAGUUGACUUUAGGCCAGAUCACAUGGCCAAAUUAUUUUUAACUUUAUUAUUAGGAACCAAAUAAUAUAUUGAAUGUAUACUGAGUCUUCGACAAAGAAGGUCGUCCACUAGGGACUUUUAGUUCUUCUGUUGGCUUCAGGCCAGAUAAUUAAUUCUUGAAACAGAACAAGAACGAGGGACAAAAAACAAGGUGGGGCAUUCCGAGAAUCGAACUUGGUACCUCUCACACCCAAAGCGAGAAUCAUACCACUAGACCAAAUGCCGAUUUGUCAAUGUUACUCCUAUUAAUUUAAAUCAGAUUACACUAAACAUGUCUCUUGUUGGAUACUUUUGAAGGCCUUGGAUGACCUAUCAGACUCAUAUGAGAAAAAUACUUUAACAGAAGCACAAAUUUUCUGCGAUGAAGUUGCAUGCAUAUGCAUACCUGUAUAUUACAAUUUCAGCCAUCUUUAAAUUGCUAGUGUUUUUGGUUAGUGAAUUUGUUCUUAGUAAUUGUAGCAUUUGGCAGGGUUUGGGUUGAUGGCCAAUAUUCUUGAUGAAUGGGCAGCUGGAUACUGGUAUGAUCCUGAGCUUGCAAAUCUUUAUGUGAAGUUAUAAACACAAUCUUCAUGCAUACGGUAGAAGAAGCUUAAAAAAAUAAAAGAAAAAAAUAUGAAACACUAAUCAUCUGAAAAUAAUGGGGCUCUCCGAGAAUUGAACUCGGGACCUCUCACACCCUAAGCGAGAUCAUACCACUAGACCAAAUGCCCAACCACUGAUGUUAGUUUCUGUGGUGAUUCCAAAUACCAUUUCCUAUGCAAGGUUUGAAUGAAAAUUGAAGACUUUUGAAAAGUUAUAUUCUUCUGUUUCAACUAAAAGAAGUAUAUCUCUGCAUGUUAAUGGCAUUUAGCACUUGAUUAAUGAUCAUUUAUGCAGUAACCUGUCCACCUAGAUUUCAACAUCUACUGCUCUUUCUGUAACAAUUUCUACAAAAAGAAAAUAGGAAAAGAAUUGAUUGGCAGGGAAUCUUGUCAGACAACUGUGUUUAUUUAUUCUCUGAUAUAGUUUUCACUGUUUGACAUGCCUCUGCUUAAGGGCCAUAUGAACUAAACUCAUUGGUUACUUCCUAAAUUAUUUGGCAGAUAAACUAUUGGAUCAGAGUAAUUAAGAUCAAUGAUUAUUAUAAAAAAAACCAAGCAUUUUACUUUUGCUAUUUGACUUGUUUUGCCCAAAAAAUAUUUAAAUUGAAAUGGUAAAGUGGGGGCAAUCCGAGAAUCAAACUGGGGACUUGUCGCACCCAAAGCAAGAAUCAUACCACUAGAUCAAAUGCCCAUUUGUUGUUACUAACUAUGUACAAUAUUUGUUCAUGGUAAUGGAAUUGCUAGUUUAAAGAUUUGGAGCACAAACUCCCUGUCAGAUUGGAAGUGUAAUUGGCAAAUAUACUGAAUGCACGACGGUUAGUGGCUUUUAGCUAGUUCGAGGAUGUAUUUCCUACCAGCUUCUUGGGAUGUGUGUUUGGGGUCUUAUCUGAGUAGUAAUAAAUCAGAAUGCAUGCAUAUUGGCCCUUUAUAGCCCCCAUUGUGCUUGGUGUUAUGUAGACUUGAGCACAAUUCCUCGCAUUUGUUGUUACGUUUCUGCUCAGCUAGGUCGCAAAACCACCGGCUGAUGCACUUGGUAACCCUUGGUGUUAGUGUAGAAUAUAUUCAGAGCUUAUAUUAUAUGUGCAGUCAUGAAGACUAAAUGUUGUUCUGCAGUUGACUUUAUGCCAGAUCUUGACCAAAUUAUUUCAACUUUAUUUAGAAAAACACUAUGUUGAAUAUGUUUGCUGAAUUCUUUAAACAGACAAUAGAAGUGAGGCACUAGGGAAGUAUAGUUAUGUUGUUGACUUCAGGACAGAUUUUAAUUCAAUAACACAAAGCCAAAAACAUGAUGGGGGCAUUCCGAGAAUCCAACUCGGGACCUCUUGCACCCAAAGCGAGAAUCAUACCACUAGACCAAGUCCCCAUUUAUCAAUGUUAUUUUGUUUUAAUUUGUAAUUAACAUCUUCUCUGCUCCUAUUAAUUUAAAUCUGAUUAUACUGAACAUGUCUAUUAUUGGGCUUUCUUUGAUGGCCUUGGAUGAUAUAUCAGACUCAUAUGAGCCAGAUGCCUUGAACAGAAGAAAACGAAAUUUCUUUUAUGUUGCAAUGAAAUUGAGUACUUUUGUACACCUGUAAAUUACAAUCUUAGCCCCUAUAUUGGAAGUAAUUUUUGUUAGUAAACUUUUGUUUAAUAUUUAUACCAUUUUGGCAGGGUUCAGGUUUCUAUUCUUCCUUCUGUUCAUUUGUUAUUUUCGUUUGGUUUGUUGAUUGAGUGAUUGGACUGCCCUGGAAAUGUGCUUCCAUAACCUUUUGGCAGUUAAGGCAGCUGGCUUUAAUCAAUUUCUCGCAUUUGUUGUUAUGUUUCUGCUGAGCUAGAUUGCAUAACCACUGGCUGAAGUACUUGGUAAUCCAUGCUGUUAGGUGCAGAAUCUUAUCAGAGUAUAUAUUAUAUGUGUUGCCAUGAAUAUUAACUAUUGUCUGCAGUUGACUUUAUGCCAGAUCACAUGACCAAAUUAUUUCAACUUCAUUAUAGAAACAAAAACUAUGUUGAAUAUGUUUGCUGAAUUCUUCAAACAGACAAUAAAGGCGGGGCAUUAGGGACUUGUAGUUAUGCUGUUGACUUCAUGCCAGAUUUUAAUUUCAAUAUUAUAAAACCAAAAAUAUGCUGGGGCAUUCCGAGAAUUGAACUCGGGACCUCUCGCACCCAAAGCGAAAAUCAUACCACUAGACCAAAUGCUCAUUUGUAAACGUUAUUUGUUUUAAUUUGUAUUUAAUUUCUUCUCUAACUGCUUCUUUUAGUUUAAAAUUGACUAGACUGAACAUGUCUGCCAUUGGGCUUUCUUUGAAGUUCUUGGAUGAUGUAUCGGACUCAUACGAGCAAAAUGCCUUAACAGAAGAAACAAACUUAAGUAGCAUUCAUUUGCAUAACUGUAUAUUAUAGUUUUAGAAUCUUAGGUAGUAAUUUUUGUGAGUAAACUUUAGUAUUUGUAUCAUUUGGCAAAUUCAGGUUAAUUGCCUUUGGUGUUGAUGAAAGGGAGCUAGAUACAGGUAUGAUACUAAGCUUGCUAAUCUUGUUAUGAAGUUGUGAAAAUCGUCUUAUUGCCAUCUGUGGAAGAAAUUUCAAGAAAAGAAAACGAAAAAUCAUGGAACAUUUGAUUUUUGUAUAAAAUGGGGCAUUCCGAGAAUUGAACUCGGGACCUCUCGCACCCUAAGCGAGAAUCAUACCACUAGACCAAAUGCCCAACUGUAGAUGUUAUUUUCUCUGGUGAUUCUUAAUGCUAUCUCCAAUCUAAGGUUUGGGUGAAAACCGAAAAGACUUUUGAAAAGUUAUUUUCUUCUCUUUGGAUCAAAGAAACAUAUCUCUGUUAGGAAAUGGCAUAUAGCACUUGAUUUAUGAUCAUUUAUGCAGUAAUCCGGCCACCUAGAUCUCAGCAUCUACUGCUCUUUCUGUAAUACUUUCAGUUUCUCAGAAAAAAAUGAUUGACAUGGAAUCUUGUCAGAUAACUGAGUUAUUUUAUUUGCUGUUACAGUUUUUACUGUUUGACAUUCCUCUGCUGAAAGACCAUAUAAACUGAACUCCAUGGUUCCUGAUUUACUUCCUAAACUCAUGAGCAUAGAUGAUAAACUAUUAGAUCAGAGUAGGUAGCAUUGCAGAUUAUUAUAAAAAAUCAUAAAACAUUUUUCUCUGGCUAUUUGACUUAUUGUGCACAAUGACAAUUUAAAUCAUAGUUAUAAAGUAGGGGCAUUUCGAGAAUCGAACUCGGGACCUCUCGCACCCAAAGCGAGAAUCAUACCACUAGACCAAAUGCCCAUUUGUUGAUAAUAUGUACAGUAUGUGUUCAUGCAAUACAAUUACUGGUUUGAACGUUUGAAGCACAAUUUCCCUUACAGGAUUGGAAGUCUAAUUGACAAAGAUAUUCAAAGCAUGACACUUGGUAGCUUCUUGUUAGUCUUGGGCUGUAUUUUCUACCAGCUUCUCACAGUAUGUGUUCAUGCAAUACAAUUACUGGUUUGAACAUUUGAAGCACAAUUUCCCUUACAGGAUUGGAAGUGUAAUUGACAAAGAUAUUCAAUGCAUGACACUUGGUAGCUUCUUGUUAGUCUUUGGCUGUAUUUUCUACCAGCUUCUCUUUUUCUUCUAUUGGGGUGUGUGUUUGGCGUUUUAUCUGAGCAGUAAUGAAUGAGAAUACUUGCAUACUGGCCCUUUAUAGUUCCCAUUCUUGCCUGCUCCACCUGCUACAAAAAAAUUUUAAUUGAUGUUUAGCAGAUUAAACUUGCUGCUUUUCUUGGAAUUUUAUUUGCCCAUUUGCAUCUCACUUGGUGCACUAUGUAACUAGACGAUGUGGUUUUAUUAAAGGUUGUGGAAACAAGCAAUAACUUUGCUAUGAGUCACCAAUUUUACUAAGGUUCUUUUCUCAAGGUUUUUCAAGUAAAUUUCUAUUGCUGGUCAUGAUAAAGUAUGAUGGUCUACAACUAGUUUCUACUCUACAAUUUGUUGUCUUCAUUUGAUUUGUUGAUUGAAUGAUUGAACUGCUCCUGAAAUGUGAUUAUAUAACCUCUUGGCAGGGUUGAGGCAGUUGGCUUUUCAUCAAAUGGCGGCAUUUUUGUUGGUAUGUUUCUGGUCAGCUAGGUUGCAAAAAUUAUUGGCUUAUGCACUUGAUAAACCUUGGUGUUAGUAUAGAAUGUAUUCAUAGCUUAUAUAAUAUGUGCAGUGGUGAAGAUUAAAUAUUGUUCUCUAGUUGACUUUAUGCCAGAUCAUGUGACCUAAUUAAUUCAACUUUAUUGCAAAAAAACUAUAUUGAAUAUGUUUGCUGAAUUCUUUAAACAGACAAUAAAGGUGAGGCACUAGGGACGUAUAGUUAUGCUGUUGACUUCAGGACAAAUUUUAAUUCAAUUACACAAAACCAAAAACAUGAUGGGGGCAUUCCGAGAAUCGUAUGAGCAAAAUGCCUUGAACAGAACAAAACGAAAUUUCUUUUAUAGAGCAAUGAAAUUGAGUACAUAUGCAUACCUGUAAAUUAUAAACUUAGCCCCUAUGUUGGUAGUAAUUUUUGUUAGUAAACUUGUUUUCAAUAUUUAUACCAUUUUUGGCAGGGUUGGUUCAGGUUUCUAUUCUUCCUUUUGUUCAUUUGUUGUAUUCGUUUGGUUUGUUGAUUAGUGAUUGAACUGCCUGGAAAUGUGCUUCCAUAACCUUUUGGCAGGGUUAAGGCAGCUAGCUUUUAAUCAAUUUCUCGCAUUUGUUGUUAUGUUUCUUGAGCUAAUAUUGCAAAAGUACUGGCGGAUGUACUUGGUAAUCCAUGCUGUUAGGUGUAGAAUCUUAUCAGGGCUUAUAUUAUAUGUGUAGUCAUGAACAUUAACUAUUGUUCUGCAGUUGACUUUAUGCCAGAUCACAUGACCAAAUGAUUUCACCUUUAUUAUAUAAACAAGAACUAUGUUGAAUAUGUUUGCUAAUUCUUCAAACAGAAAAUAAAGGUGGGGCAUUAGGGACUUGUAGUUUUGCUGUUGACUUCAGGCCAGAUUUUAAUUUCAUUAUUAUAAUACCAAAAACAUGUUGGGGCAUUCCGAGAAUCGAACUCGGGACCUCUCGCACCCAAAGCGAGAAUCAUACCACUAGACCAAAUGCCCAUUUGUAAAUGUUAUUUUGCCUUAAUUUGUAUUUAAUUUCUUCUCUAACCGCUUCUUUUAGUUUAAAACUGAUUAGACUGAACAUUUCUGCCAUUGGGCUUUCUUUGAAGGUCUUGGAUGAUGUAUCAGACUCGUAUGAGCAAAAUGAAUUAACAGAAGAAACAAACUUAAGUUGCAUUCAUAUGCAUAACUGUAUAUUAUAGUUUUAGAAAUCUUAGAUAGUAAAUUUGUGAAUAAACUUGUUCUUCGUAUUUGUAUCAUUUGGUAAUGUUCAGGUUAAUUGCCUUUGCUGUUGCUGAAAGGGAGCUAGAUACAGGUAUGUUACUGAGCUUUCUAAUCUUGUUAUGAAGUUGUGAAAUCUUCCGAGAAUUGAACUCGGGACCUCUCGCACCCUAAGCGAGAAUCAUACCACUAGACCAAAUGCCCAACUGUAAAUGUUAUUUUCUCUGGUGAGUCUUAAUGCCAUUUCCAAUCUAAGAUUUGGGUGAAAACCGAAAAGACUUUUGAAAAGUUAUUUUCUCCUCUUUGGAUCAAAGAAACAUAUCCCUUUUAGGUAAUGGCAUAUAGAACUUGAUUUAUGAUCAUUUAUGCAGUAAUCUGGCCACCUAGAUCUCAGCAUCUACUGCUCUUUCUCUAACAUUUUCUGUUUCUCAAAAACCAAAAAAAAAUGAUUGACAUGGAAUCUUGUCAGAUAACUUAGUUAUUUUAUUUGCUUUUACAGUUUUACUGUUUGACAUUCCUCAGCUGAAAGACCAUAUAAACUGAACUUCAUGGUUACUGAUUUACUUCCUAAACUCAUGAGCAUAGAUGAUAAACUAUUAGAUCAGGGUAGGUAGCAUUGCAGAUUAUUAUAAAAUAUCAUAAAACAUUUGUCUCUGGCUAGUUGACUUAUUGUGCACAAUGAUAAUUUAAAUUGUAGUUAUAAAGUAGGGGCAUUCCGAGAAUCGAACUCGGGACCUCUCGCACCCAAAGCGAGAAUCAUACCACUAGACCAAAUGCCCAUUUGUUGAUAGUAUAUACAAUAUGUGUCCAUGGCAAUGCAAUUACUGGUUUGAACAUUUGAAGCACAAUUUCCCUUACAGGAUGGUAAGUGUAAUUGACAAAGAUAUUCAAUGCAUGACACUUAGCUUCUUGCUAGUCUUGGGCUGUAUUUUAUAGCAGCUUCUCUUUUUCUUCUUUUGGGGUGUGUUUGGGGUCUUAUCCGAGUAGUAAUGAACGAGAAUACUUGCAUACUGGCCCUUUAUCAUUCCCAUUCUUGCAAAAUAUUUUACUUGAUUUUUAGCUGAUUUACUUUGCUACUUUUAUUGGAAUUUUAUUUGCCCAUUUGCAUCUCACUUGGUGAACUCUUUAAUUAGACAAUGUGGUUUUAUUAAAGGUUGUGGAAACAAGCAAUAACUUUGCUAUAAGUCACUAAUUUUACUGAGGUGCUUUUCUCAAGGUUUUUCAAGUAAAUUUCUAUUGCUGGUCAUGAUAAAGUAUGAUGGUCUAGAAUUAGUUUCUAGUCUACCAUUUGUUGUCUUCAUUUGAUUUGGUGAUCGAGUGAUUGAACUGCUCCUGAAUGUGCUUAUAACCUUUUGGCAGGGAAGGCACCUGGUUUUUCAUCAAUUGCCGGCAUUUUUGUUGGUAUGUCUCUGGUCAGCUAGGUUGCAAAAACCAUUGACUGAUGCACUUGGUAACCCUUGUUGUUAGUGUAGAAUAUAUUCAGAGCUUACGAUAAAUGUGCAGUGAUGAAGAUUAAAUAUUGUUCUGCAGUUGACUUUAUGCCAAUUCACAUGACCAAAUCAUUUCAACUUAAUUAUAAGAAAACUACGUUGAAUAUGUUUGCUGAAUUCUUUAAACAGACAAUAAAGUUGAGGCACUAGGGACUACUAGUUAUGCUGUUAACUUCAGGACAGAUUAUAAUUCAAUAUCACAAAACCAAAAACAUGAUGGGGGCAUUCCGAGAAUCGAACUCGGGACCUCUCGCACCCAAAGCGAGAAUCAUACCACUAGACCAAAUGCCCAUUUUUCAAUAUUAUUUUGUUUUAAUUUGUAAUUAACUUCUUCUCUGCUCCUAUUAAUUUAAAUCUGAUUAGACUGAACAUGUCUAAUGUUGGUUGGGGUUUCUUUGAUGGCCUUGGAUAGUGUAUCAGACUCAUAUGAGCAAAAUGCCUUAACCAGAAGAAAACAAACUUUCUUUUAUGGAGCAAUGAAGUUGAAUGCAUAUGCAUACCUGUAAAUUAUAAUCUUAGCCCCUAUACUGGUAGUAAUUUUUGUUAAUAAACUUGUUCUUAAAAUUUGUACCAUUUUGGCAGGUUUCAGGUUAAUUGGGAGGCAGAGACAGGUUUGAUACUAGCUUUCUAAUCCUGUUAAGUUCUUAGCACCAUCUUUUUGCAUUCUGUGGAAGAAACUUCUGCUUUUCAGAAAAAAGAAAAAAAAAAUCAUGGAACACUUGAUUUCUGAAUAAAAUGGGGCAUUCUGAGAAUUGAACUCAGGACCUCUCGCACCCUAAGCGAGAAUCAUGCCACUAGACCAAAUGCCCAAUUUGACCUUAUAGCUAUGUAAGGCUUGAUUGAAAAAGACUUUUAAAUGAUAUUUUCUCACUUUGGAUUCAGAAGAAACAUAUCUUCAUCUGUGAUGACCAUAUUUAGCACUUGAUUUAUGAUCCCUUAUGCAGUAGUUUUUUAUCCAUCUAGAUUUCAGCAUCUACUGUUCUGUCUAUCAAAUUUUUUGUUUUCCAAAAGGAAAUUGUUUGGCAUGGAUUUGGAAUCUUGUCAGAAAACCUAAUUAUUUUAUUGUGUUAUAGACUAUUAAACUGAAAUCGAGGGCUGCUAAUUUAGUUUCUAAAAUCAUUGGCAUAGUUGACUAUUAGUAUUAGAUCCGAGUAAACAUCUAAGAAGCAAGCAUAAAGCAUUUUUCUUUUGCUACUGUUUAUUUGACUCAUCUCUCAAAANNNNNNNNNNNNNNNNNNNNNNNNNNNNNNNNNNNNNNNNNNNNNNNNNNNNNNNNNNNNNNNNNNNNNNNNNNNNNNNNNNNNNNNNNNNNNNNNNNNNNNNNNNNNNNNNNNNNNNNNNNNNNNNNNNNNNNNNNNNNNNNNNNNNNNNNNNNNNNNNNNNNNNNNNNNNNNNNNNNNNNNNNNNNNNNNNNNNNNNNNNNNNNNNNNNNNNNNNNNNNNNNNNNNNNNNNNNNNNNNNNNNNNNNNNNNNNNNNNNNNNNNNNNNNNNNNNNNNNNNNNNNNNNNNNNNNNNNNNNNNNNNNNNNNNNNNNNNNNNNNNNNNNNNNNNNNNNNNNNNNNNNNNNNNNNNNNNNNNNNNNNNNNNNNNNNNNNNNNNNNNNNNNNNNNNNNNNNNNNNNNNNNNNNNNNNNNNNNNNNNNNNNNNNNNNNNNNNNNNNNNNNNNNNNNNNNNNNNNNNNNNNNNNNNNNNNNNNNNNNNNNNNNNNNNNNNNNNNNNNNNNNNNNNNNNNNNNNNNNNNNNNNNNNNNNNNNNNNNNNNNNNNNNNNNNNNNNNNNNNNNNNNNNNNNNUUCAUUGAUUCCCCAGGGUCAUAGGUACUGGCCAGCUGGGUUGUAGAACCACUCUACCGACUUUGGAAUCUUAACCAGAGCAUAAUAUAUUAUAUAUAUAUAUAUAUAUAUAUAUAUGUGCAGCCACUGAACAUUGAAUAUUUUUCUGAAGACUUUUAGGCCAGAUCACAUGGCCAUAUUUUCUCAACUUUAUUGUCAAAAAAAAGAAAGAAAGCAAACUACUAUAUUAAAUAACAUGUUUGUUUUAUUCUGCAGACAGAUCCUAACCCAUAAAGAAGGCGGGGGCACCAGCAGCAACUUGUAGUUCUGCUGAUGACUGUAGUUAGUUUCCAAUAUCGCCAAAAAAAGCAAUAGCAUAUAUACAGGGGCAUUCCGAGAAUCGA
rnacentral:lncRNA from 1 species